rnacentral:lncRNA from 1 species
UUAACAUACAAUCGCCAAAUAGAAUUUCAAUCCGGAAUAUUUUACCCCCUCAGAAGGAGUUGAAUAACAUCUGUUAUUUGGUGACUACUCGGUGCUACACUCCUAAAAGUCUUUUCUUUCAAUCCAGGUAACUUUUCCCUGCUUGGUGGAAGGGUAUAUAGUUAACUUUACUGUCACUUAGGAAAGCACUUGUCUGAAAUGUUUAAAGUACUAGAAAAGGGAUAAUUCAGCACUUUUUCUGUUACAACACUAAAGUCUUAAUUUAUCUUCAGAGUCUUAGGUACUGUAAGUUUUAGGGUGAUUAUUUAAAAAUAUAAAGCAUAUUACAUACUAUGGGAUCAGAUCACAUUUACACAAAUAAUUCUUGUCUUAAUUUUUAAAAAGACAAUAACAUUUUGUACCUUUCAAGCAAUUCCAAGUGACUGCCUCAUUUUCCCCAUUUCAUUAAGCAUUUCAGGCUGAGAAUUUGGAAUUUGAGAGGAGGUGAGGGGGAAAUUCCCCAAAAUGAAAAAUUGUGUCAGACAGUUUUAGAAAAAUAAAUCACUAGGAAAAUGGGUAGGGAUUCUCUCUCCCUUUAAGUCUUCAGGGAAUGAGCAGUAUUUAGAAUCUUUGGCUGAAAUUCAAGCCUUUUUACUGUGUAAAUUUUUAAUAUUAAUUCACUGACAUGCUUUUUACAUCAGAGGACUGAAAAUGGAUCUUAAUGUUUUUAAGUUGUGGAAGGGUAUAUUUCUAAAAUGAGGGGGGGAUAAUUAACUAGGUUAGUAUACCAGCAUUAGUAAGUUUAAGGAAUUUUAGUAUGUAAUAGCAAAGUGUUUGAUUA